rnacentral:lncRNA from 1 species
GGCUCCUGCUACCUUCUGCGGGCGGAAAGUGGGUGUCCCGGGAAGGGACGGACCCCAUCUCUACUAUGCCGCAAGCGCGUUGUGUCAACAGGCUGGCUGUGGACGGCCCGAUGAGCGUGACUUGAUUUUGUACUUUCUGCCACCUCCAAUUUUCUCAGAACGCAACAUAAGAAAAAGAACUAACAGCGGUGUGUACAGGAUUGCUUCGAAGAUAUGGGUGCUGAUGUUUGGUCAUUGCUAUGGGGGAGGUCGCAGAGCUGAGAGUUUCGGAGGACGCUUUCUGUCUUGUCUAGCUGUUCAACCCAGGGUCCAGACUUUUCAAGGGCUACUCUGUUAGUCCGAACUACUCACUGCUGACACUUGGCACCUAGUCUUCACUCUGGGACCCCAGAGACAUUCUUCCCUGCUGUGACUAUGCAUGGGGAGGUGUGUCCACUGCCCGGUAUUUCAGCUUCACAAGAGGUCCCACAGGCGUCUCUCACUUGAAGGACAAGGGCCAGGGAGACCAUGUCAAUGGGAGUUACCUGUAAGGUCACGUGCUGCUGCUUCUGGUUCACUCUCUGACCUCUCCUGAAGAAGCCAAGCUGCAGAGAUGAGCUACAAAGGACAUUCUCAGAGCUGUCAAAAAGGAUCAGAGGAGAAAGGCUUCAAAGAAGACUCCGAGACCAGACCAGCUGUUUGGAAAAAACAGAAGCCAGCUGAGCUGUCUGGAAGAAGUUUAGAUCAACUGAGGCACCUGGAAAGGACAAUCCAUCUCCAACCUGCUGAGCCUCAUGAGUGCUGUGCGUUCCAGGCACCCAGCUUUGUGAGCUGUGGCCCAUGCUGGGGUAGGCUUUGGUGAUACUGCUGGUUUUGAGUCUUUUCUACUCCUGUAAGUAAUUCUUCAUCCAUACUCUUGUGAGUAACCCCAAUAAAACUCAUUGGUCCACCAAACUAG